UACGAAGGGGGCUAGCGUUGUUCGGAAUUACUGGGCGUAAAGCGCACGUAGGCGGCUUGUAAGUCAGAGGUGAAAGCCCGGAGCUUAACUCCGGAAUUGCCUUUGAGACUGCAUCGCAUCGAAUCCGAGGAGAGGUAAGUGGAAUUCCGAGUGUAGAGGUGAAAUUCGUAGAUAUUCGGAAGAACACCAGUGGCGAAGGCGACUUACUGGACACAUAUUGACGCUGAGGUGCGAAAAGCGUGGGGAGCAAACAGG
rnacentral:rRNA from 1 species